rnacentral:tRNA from 1 species
GGUUGAUUAGCUCAGUUGGUUAGAGCGGCGGACUGUUAACCCGCGGGUCUCCCGUUCGAGUCGGGAAUCAACCG